CCUACGGGAGGCUGCAGUGGGGAAUAUUGGACAAUGGGCGCAAGCCUGAUCCAGCAAUGCCGCGUGUGUGAAGAAGGUCUUCGGAUUGUAAAGCACUUUCGACGGGGACGAUGAUGACGGUACCCGUAGAAGAAGCCCCGGCUAACUUCGUGCCAGCAGCCGCGGUAAUACGAAGGGGGCUAGCGUUGCUCGGAAUGACUGGGCGUAAAGGGCGCGUAGGCGGAUUGUACAGUCAGAUGUGAAAUUCCCGGGCUCAACCUGGGGGCUGCAUUUGAUACGUGCGAUCUUGAGUUCGGAAGAGGGUCGUGGAAUUCCCAGUGUAGAGGUGAAAUUCGUAGAUAUUGGGAAGAACACCGGUGGCGAAGGCGGCGACCUGGUCCGAUACUGACGCUGAGGCGCGAAAGCGUGGGGAGCAAACAGGAUUAGAUACCCCAGUAGUC
rnacentral:rRNA from 1 species